GUAAAAAUAAAAAUAUCGCAGAAACCGUUAAAACGUAAAAUAUUAAAAUUGUUUUAAUGUAUUUUGUUUUUUUUUUUUUUUUUUUUUUUUUUUUUUUAGUUUUGAGUUUUGAGUCUUGGAAUUCAAUAUCUAUUCGUUUUUAUCGAAUUUUCGCCGAAAAAAAUUACUGUUUUGUUUCCUAUGUGUAUACAGAAUAUUUCCGAAUAUUCUACCAACCGUUACACCAUACUCUGUACAAAAAUGGUCCAAUAACGAAAUUUUUCAAAUGUUUUCUCUAUCUUCAAAACCUUUUUAGUAAAAACUCUUAGUAUAUUUGCGCGAAUUUAAAAAUAAAUAUUCCGUGGUAUUUUGGUCCAAGGUUACUAACUAAUAAACAAAUAAAUAUUGGCAAACCAAUGCCCAAACAUGAUGACUAAUCGGGAAGAGGUAUUGUUUUGCUUUAAACGCUCCUCCUUAACAUACCUCCAAAAUGAAGCGAGAAGAAUAAACGGAAUGUACCUAUAGGUGUAAACAUAUGUAUUGCGUUGAUGUCAAUAGUAUGUGCCUUUUAGGGGGAUUCAAUUUGCAUGCCUCGUUACCACUAUUAUUAUGCUAAAAUCCCAUUUUUUUUUUUUUUUGGAAUAAGUAUAACAUACAAGUAUAGCUUUGUGAUGUAAUUGUAUUUGGUUUUUUGUUUGUUAACAAGGAAUGUGGUGUUUAUACAGACUUAACUAGGAUUUUUUUACAAAGAAGAUUAUUUAUUUAUGGCCU